CCUACGGGUGGCUGCAGUGGGGAAUAUUGGACAAUGGGGGGAACCCUGAUCCAGCCAUGCCGCGUGUGUGAAGAAGGCCCUCGGGUUGUAAAGCACUUUCAGUGAGGAAGAACGCCUGGUGGUUAAUACCCAUCAGGAAAGACAUCACUCACAGAAGAAGCACCGGCUAACUCCGUGCCAGCAGCCGCGGUAAUACGGAGGGUGCGAGCGUUAAUCGGAAUUACUGGGCGUAAAGCGCGCGUAGGUGGCUUGAUAAGCCGGUUGUGAAAGCCCCGGGCUCAACCUGGGAACGGCAUCCGGAACUAUCAAGCUAGAGUGCAGGAGAGGAAGGUAGAAUUCCCGGUGUAGCGGUGAAAUGCGUAGAGAUCGGGAGGAAUACCAGUGGCGAAGGCGGCCUUCUGGACUGACACUGACACUGAGGUGCGAAAGCGUGGGUAGCAAACAGGAUUAGAUACCCUUGUAGUC
rnacentral:rRNA from 1 species